rnacentral:misc_RNA from 1 species
CUCUAGGCUUGCAUUUACACACAAGCUCAAGCAACCUACCCGAACUCUCGGCGGGCCACCGAUUGAGUUCCUAUUUGGUCUUGCUACGAGUGGAGUUUACCUAGCUGCCAAAUGUUACCACUGGCACGGUGCGCUCUUACCGCACCCUUUCACCCUUACCAGCCAAAGCUGGCGGUCUGCUCUCUGUUGCACUAGUCGUAGGCUCGCGCCCCCCGGACGUUAUCCGGCACUCUGCCA